UUCAGAUUCGUCGUCACCUCGCUUAUAUUAGUAACAACACAUACAAAUAGACAAGGAAUACAUGAAAAUAACAUUACACCAAAUAUGAGAAAAAACCGUGUAAUAAUAUUCUAUGUGCCACUACACGAUCGUAGGUUCGAAAACCAUUAAAAUCGGAGUUAGAGUAAACAAGUUAUGGUUUUCGGAAGAUCUACAUGGUUAAAUAUGAAAACUAUGCUAUAUGUGUAUUAAUAUAAAUCAUAUGAGAAAGAUAUUCUAAAUAAAUAACUAUUUCAACUUUAAUCUAAAUUAUAACUUUAUUAUAGAUCAUAUUUUAGUCAGAUUAUAAUUAUAGACCGCAUUAGAAUAUUACUUUAGCUUUAAUUAGAAAAGUUAAUCCAAUGAACAUUGGUCAAACAUAUUAGUUAGUUAUUUUUAAAACAUGUUACAUGACAAAAUAAGGUUACUAAUAAAGUGUAAGCAAUAUUAAUACGAGUCUAACACAACUUGAAUGGGUCAAAUCAGAGCUAAAACGAGGGAGAUAUGAAUUUUCGAAGGUUUUUUCACAUUAAAAAUCAAUUUCUGGUGUUAUUUUAUAAAUUCACUAGAAACCUGGACUGUGGGCUAAGCAUUUCAAAAGUCUAGGGACUAAUGUGUGAAAUCCGAGGACCUACCUAUAAUAGCUUCUAUACUUGUGUGGACGACGGGUUUAUUUUAAAAGAACACAAUGGCUCUUUAUCAAAAGUGCACAGGUGAACAACUUCACGUGAGCUAGAUCGUUUGAUCCUGAUCCGAGGGAUCAGAUCCAUCAACCGAGGCGGUAUGGUAGGAUCUAAUCCUAUCCGUCCAUACGUGUGUCAAUGGAUCCGAUUCAAACGACAAAGGGUUAUGUAGUGAUGUAAUCAUGACCGAUCACCACCAGAUCAACGGCCAGGGAUCCUUCUCCCUGCUUUCUGAUGCACAACAGUGGCGGUGUCCUGCCUCCGCGGCGGCGCCAUCGUCGGCGGACGUCGAACCGUGGCUCCCGUGAACUAAACCAAGCACACCUAGUGGUAAAAUGAUGCGAAGGACUUAGUGAACUUGUCUAGGGGCUCCUUACCGAGGAUAACAUCGACGACCAUGCCACCCACGAUGAAGAGCGAACUCCGAGGUGGCGAAGAGCUCCGGUGGCCCGGAACACCCACCCGCCCAGCCAAAGCCAUGUACAUGAUCUGCAUGACCCGGUGAAGCUUCCUGGCUCGAUUCCAAGGCCUCGACGAUGAUGAGGACGAGGGUCGGCGAUCAGCAAAUCUAUUUCUCGCGGUGACGACGCUCUCCAAUCUCUGCUCUUGUCCGUAGGAGAUGAAGGCACCAACUACGCAUUCUGGUGUGCCACUUGACUUCCCCCGAAGCUUUGUCUAUGACAUGGACG
rnacentral:lncRNA from 1 species